rnacentral:rRNA from 1 species
GACGAACGCUGGCGGCGUGCCUAAUACAUGCAAGUCGAACGCAGUGGGGACGGGUGAGUAACACGUGGGUAACCUCCCAUCAGAGGGGAUAACACUUGGAAACAGGUGCUAAACCGAUACUGAUGGAUGGACCCGCGGUGCAUUAGCUAGUUGGUGAGGUAACGGCUCACCAAGGCCACGAUGCAUAGGCGAACUGGGGAGGGGAGCGGCCAACAUGGGAAUGGGACCCGGCCCCGACUCCCACGGGAGGCAGCAGUAGGGAAUCUUCGGGAAUGGAAGAAAGUCUGACCGAGCAAAGCCGCGUGAGUGAAGAAGGUUUUCGGAACGUAAAGCUCUGUUGUUAGAGAAACGGUAACUAACCAGAAAGGGACGGCUAACUACGUGCCAGCAGCCGCGGUAAUAC